AGCAUAUCAAUAAGCGGAGGAAAAGAAACCAACAGGGAUUGCCUCAGUAACGGCGAGUGAAGCGGCAACAGCUCAAAUA
rnacentral:rRNA from 1 species